GAAAAACACUGGACCACGCUACAUCUUCAUUCAUCCCUGGACAUCUGACCACUACCCCGUCAUUCCCUCAAAAGAUGGCACAGAUUUGGAAAGUUGUGGAAUUCCAAGACCGGAGU